rnacentral:rRNA from 1 species
GACGAACGCUUGCGGCGUGCCUAAGAAAUGCAAGUCGAACGGAUUAGCCAGCAAUGGUUGGUCAGUGGCGAACGGUCGCGUAGCACGUAAGCAACCUGCCUCGAAGUUUGGGAUAACAAUCCGAAAGGGUUGCUAAUACCGGAUGUGGUCCACGGGUGGCAUCACUUGUGGUCUAAAGAUUUAUUGCUUCGAGAUGGGCU